GUCUGGGAGUUUUUAAGUUUCAUUCUUUUAUUACAUUUUUUUCUUAGAUCUGUUAAAAGGUCACCAUGGCAGCCUGUGUGUCAACGUCAGCUACACAAAGCAGCAAGUCCAUUUGGAUCAUUGGAGACAGCUGAGUGAGGCGUGGUGCCCAGAGAGCUGCAGAGACAACCUUGGCCUCCCUGACGUCUGUGUCUCCUGGUUUGGUUGGGGCAGACCAUCGACAUACAUACAUGUGCCGACACUUUGCGCCCUGUUUUAUAAAAUGUAGUGUUAAAAAUAAAUGUUUUUGCUCAAUUACUGGAAUUUCUUUGGUUAAGACAAAAGUGAGGAAUAAUCAUUUACAAGUUAUUUGUGCAACAGGCCCAUUUUAAAUCCCAACAGUUUCUUAGCAGACAAUAGAAAUGUGUUCUUUACUAACUUUACUUGGUUUGAAAAUCUUACGAAAAUAAACUUGAGUGCCGUAUUGCAAAACCCAAUCAUACUUGUUAUGUAAACAUUAGCUUUGUAGAUAUUUUUACAGAUAUAUGUUUGUGUGCAACAAAAACCAAACUUAAAUAAUUUGUCAUUCUUUAUUGAAAAACAACAAAAUACAGGUAUACAGAAGUGUGGGAAAAUGAUAAUGUGAACGUAUUGCACUAUAAAUGAAGUGAGAUGAGACGAAGGUGGACGCCAGCGGGCUGGACGCCGGACGAGGAAACCUGGAGACGGAUCGCUCAGACAGGAAGGGAAGAGCUUCCUCUUACCUUGAUGGAAUUAAAGUUAGCCGUCGUCUGAACGCCCAACCGUACGGUCUGAGGUCAAAGGUCACAGGAAACACACACCAGUCAGCAGUCAUACAGAUGCAUUAAGAUAACUGUAGCCAUGGCAACCAGCUGACAUGUCCCCACUUUCACCAGCACCUGGUGCCUGCCGGGUCACCUGAAUUCCUGUGUGAUGUCAGCACGGUCGGCCGUGACUGCUGCCAUCAGAGGUGACCUCUGAUCAGCUGAAUGAACUCACCUUCCAGGGUGACGCCGUGUUAGAGUCGGCUUCAUCCUGUAAACAAACAAACAAACAAAUGAGUGGUAACAAAAACACCAUGUCUGGUUCUGGUGGAGGCGGAGGACAACAUGCACCUUUCCAGGAGCAGAACCCAGAUGUUCUUGUUGCUACAAACAGAGACGAGCAGAGUUAACAAACCAGGAAGUGAGAGGGACCAGCUGCUGCAGACAGGUGACGCUCACCUGAGCCUGAACCAUAGGAGCCUCCUCAGCCAUCAGACCUUCUGACUCCAGUUCAGAUGCCACCUUGUUGAUGUCCCUCAGGCGGGACUCGUUGGCCUUCAGGUCCUGCAGGACAAAAGCACCUGCUGAUUACCUUGUUGCUGUCGGGUUAACAGGUCUGGUGUUAGAACGUGGUGGAUAAGAAUGUUCUGACGGGCCGAGGGUUCUGAACUCACCCUGCAGGACUGGGCCUGCUCCUUCAGGGCCUGGAUGCUGCUGCCGUAAGCCGACAGGUCCGACAUCAGGGCCUCGUGCUUCUUCAGGAGAGCCUGUGGAGCAGAACAUCAGAACCUUCAGCUCGUCUGACACAAGUGGAGCUUUCUCGCAGCGAUGGUCCAAUCGGAUCUGCCACCGUAAAACAAACCCUGCUCAGUUCACCGCAGACGCAGCUCUGCGGGUGUUUAGUGGAAAAGCGUGAGCCUUCUGCCGGCUGCCACGUGUCAUGGCUGCUCUGCAGCGGGAACACACAUCACAGCUUGUAAACCGUUUGAAAUAAGAGCGACGGGAACACGUUUGUCAUCACUUCCUGUGCGAGGCCAGCACUUCUACCCCUAACCCAUGAGACGCUCAAACGAGCAACGACGUCUGGUAGACAACCGAAGGAAAUGACAAAUACAGAAACACUAAUAUGAAUGACUGGAAAGAGAGCAAAGAAAAGCGAUUGGAGUUUCUCAGGAAGGGACUUCCAUACCUCGGCCAAGUCCUCGUCUUUCCCUUAGUCUGGACUUCCAACGAUGGGCUCCUUCUCCCUCAUCCAGGACUCGGCCUCAUUAGCAUCCGCAAAGUACUGCUGGGCCUGCAGAGAGUCCUCCAGGUCCUGCCUCCUCUGGGACGCCUUGGCCUUCAGCGUGUCCCAACGUCCAUGAAGCUCCCACAGUUUAGUCUUCACUUCCUCACCAGCGAAGUGACCUGGACCCAAAAAAAGUGAGCCAGAACCUGCAGACACCUCAGAAACAUGUCAGGACCAGACCUGCUCUACCUUCCUCCACUAUGGUCUCUCCUUUCUGGGUGACAGCCUUGAUGCGAGGUUCAUGACCUGUGAUCUCAGCCUGCAGAGCCUGGUGCUUCUUCAGCAGGUUCUGGACACCAAUCAGGUCCUUCCC